rnacentral:tRNA from 1 species
UCCCUGGUGGCCCAGCUGGUUAAGGCGUCCGACUGUUAUAGCAUCUGCGAACAACACAUCGGGAGAUCGACAGUUCGAUCCUGUCUCGGGGAG